CCUGGCCCUUGAGGCACUGUGGGUGUGGCUGCUAAGUCACAUGUUUAUCAAGAGGUAGCAGAGUGGAGAGACAGUAUGACUAUGCUCAGUGUUCUGAUCUAGGAACAUCUGAAUGAUCAAUAGCCUAACACU
ensembl:snoRNA Gm24656 predicted gene, 24656